rnacentral:rRNA from 1 species
UACGAAGGGGGCUAGCGUUGUUCGGAUUUACUGGGCGUAAAGCGCACGUAGGCGGAUAUUUAAGUCAGGGGUGAAAUCCCGGGGCUCAACCCCGGAACUGCCUUUGAUACUGGGUAUCUUUGAGUCCGGAAGAGGUGAGUGGAAUUCCGAGUGUAGAGGUGAAAUUCGUAGAUAUUCGGAGGAACACCAGUGGCGAAGGCGGCUAACUGGUCCAGUACUGACGCUGAGGUGCGAAAGCGUGGGGAGCAAACAGG